rnacentral:rRNA from 1 species
UCAAGCGAACAAGGGCGCAGGGCGAAUGCCUUGGCACUGGGAGCCGAUGAAAGACGUGAUAAGCUGCGAUAAGCUUCGGGGAGCUGCAAAUAAGCAUUGAUCCGGAGAUUUCUGAAUGAGGAAACUCACCUGGGUUCAUACUCAGGUACGUUAUACUGAACUUAAAAAUAGGUAUAUCGAGGGAACCGCCUGAACUGAAACAUCUAAGUAGGGCGAGGAAGAGACAUCAAACGAGAUUCCGUAAGUAGUGGCGAGCGAACGCGGAAGAGGGCAAACCGGGAGUAGAAAUACUUCCGGGGUACGGACUGCUUUUAGGACUCAAUCUGUUAACCGAACGGCAUGGGAAGGCCGGUCAGAGAGUGUGAGAACCACGUAGGUGAAAACGGAAAGAGCUGCGCAGGAUCCAGAGUACGGCCAGACACGUGAAACCUGGUCGGAAUACGGGGGGACCACCCUCCAACCCUAAAUACUACCCAGUGACCGAUAGCGUAUAGUACUGUGAAGGAAAGGUGAAAAGCACCCCGGGAGGGGAGUGAAAAAGAACCUGAAACCCUGUGCCUACAAGCACCUAGAGCACGUCAAUGUGUGAUAGGGUACUUUUUGUAGAACGGUCCGGCGAGCGAUUGUAUGCAGCAAGGUUAAGGACUUAAGGUCUGGAGCCGAAGCGAAAGCGAGUUUGAAAAGGGCGUUAAGUUGCAUACAAUGGGCCCGAAACCGGGUGACCUACCCAUGGUCAGGUUGAAGUGGAAGUAAAAUUCCAUGGAGGACCGAACCGACCUCCGUUGAAAAGGCGGCGGAUGAACUGUGGGUAGCGGAGAAAUUCCAAUCGAACCCGGAGAUAGCUGGUUCUCCCCGAAAUAGUUUUAGGACUAGCCUCAAGUUAGAUACCUGGAGGUAAAGCACUGAAUAGCCUAGCGGCCGAGAGGUUAGCGAAGCUUAUCAAACUCAGAAUGCCAGAGUAUUGAUGCUUGGGAGUCAGACAGUGUCAGAUAAAUGUCAUUGUCAAAAGGGAAACAGCCCAGAUCUACAGCUAAGGUCCCAAAGUCAGGUUAAGUGGAAAACGAUGUGAAGAUACGUAGACAACCAGGAUGUUGGCUCAGAAGCAGCCACUCAUUCAAAGAGUGCGUAAUAGCUCACUGGUCGAGCGUCUUUGCGCGGAGAAUUUAACGGGGCUAAACCUGACACCGAAGCUUAGGCAAUCCAGUAAUGGAUUGGGUAGGGGAGCGUUGUAUACGCGGAGAAACAGUAGCGUAAGCGGCUGUGGAGUGUAUAGAAGUGAGAAUGCCGGAAUGAGUAGCGCGAAUGCAGUGAGAAUCUGCAUGGCCGAAAGCCUCAGGUUUCUGGAGGAAGGUUCGUCCGCUCCAGGUUAGUCGGGAGCUAAGGUGAGGCCUAACGGCGUAGCCGAUGCACAGACGGUAGAGAUUCCGUCACCACCAAAAGAGUUAAACACAGGGACACAUUUGAAGUCUCGGAGCCGGGUGUUGGUUCCGGUAGCGAUCGAGGGAAAUUAGUACCGAAGUCCGGGAUGGAAGAUGGCGAGAAAAGCUGUGUGUAUUUCUGCGGUGCCCGUACCGCAAACCGACACAGGUAGGUAGGAAGAAGAUUCUAAGGCCAACGGGAGAAGGGUUGUUAAGGAACUCGGCAAAUUGACCCCGUAACUUCGGGAGAAGGGGUGCUCCAGAGAUGGAGCCGCAGAGAAUCGGCCCAAGCAACUGUUUACCAAAAACACAGGUUUGUGCUAAAUCGAAAGAUGACGUAUACGAGCUGACGCCUGCCCGGUGCUGGAAGGUUAAGAGGAGAUGUGCAAGCAUUGAAUCGAAGCCCCAGUGAACGGCGGCCGUAACUAUAACGGUCCUAAGGUAGCGAAAUUCCUUGUCAGGUAAG